rnacentral:rRNA from 1 species
UACGUAGGGUGCGAGCGUUAAUCGGAAUUACUGGGCGUAAAGCGUGCGCAGGCGGUUCGUUAAGUUCGUUGUGAAAGCCCCGGGCUCAACCUGGGAACUGCAAUGGAAACUGGCGGGCUUGAGUGUGGCAGAGGGGGGUGGAAUUCCGCGUGUAGCAGUGAAAUGCGUAGAUAUCAAGAGGAACACCUGCGGCGAAGGCGGGUUGCUGGGCCGACACUGACGCUGAGGCGCGAAAGCUAGGGGAGCGAACGGG